rnacentral:rRNA from 1 species
GACGAACGCUGGCGGCGUGCUUAACACAUGCAAGUCGUACGGUAAGGCCCUUUCUGGGGUACACGAGUGGCGAACGGGUGAGUAACACGUGAGUAACCUGCCCACAACUUUGGGAUAACGCUAGGAAACUGGUGCUAAUACUGGAUAUGUGCUCCUGCUGCAUGGUGGGGGUUGGAAAGCUCCGGCGGUUGUGGAUGGACUCGCGGCCUAUCAGCUUGUUGGUGGGGUAGUGGCCUACCAAGGCGGCGACGGGUAGCCGGCCUGAGAGGGUGACCGGCCACAUUGGGACUGAGAUAAGGCCCAGACUCCUACGGGAGGCAGCAGUGGGGAAUAUUGCACAAUGGGCGCAAGCCUGAUGCAGCAACGCCGCGUGCGGGAUGACGGCCUUCGGGUUGUAAACCGCUUUCAGCAGGGGCGAAGCUUUUUGUGACGGUACCUGCAGAAGAAGCACCGGCUAACUACGUG